rnacentral:rRNA from 1 species
GCGUGAGUGAUGAAGGCCUUCGGGUUGUAAAGCUCUUUCGCACGCGACGAUGAUGACGGUAGCGUGAGAAGAAGCCCCGGCUAACUUCGUGCCAGCAGCCGCGGUAAUACGAAGGGGGCUAGCGUUGUUCGGAAUUACUGGGCGUAAAGCGCACGCAGGCGGUUUGUCUAGUCAGGAGUGAAAGCCCGGGGCUUAACCCCGGAAUAGCUCUUGAUACUGGCAGACUUGAAUCACGGAGAGGGUAGUGGAAUUCCGAGUGUAGAGGUGAAAUUCGU